UACGUAGGAGACGAGCGUUGUCCGGAGUUACUGGGCGUAAAGGGUGCGCAGGUGGCGGCGCGCGUGGGGGGUGAAAUCGCCCGGCUUAACUGGGCGGGGGCCUUCCAGACGGCGUGGCUUGAGCAGCGGAGGGGGACGUGGAAUUCCGGGUGGAGCGGUGAAAUGCGUAGAGAUCCGGAAGAACACCGGUGGCGAAGGCGGUUAGCUGGGCAGUUGCUGACACUGAGGCGCGACAGCGUGGGGAGCAAACAGG
rnacentral:rRNA from 1 species